UACGUAGGGGGCUAGCGUUGUCCGGAAUCAUUGGGCGUAAAGCGCGCGUAGGCGGCCCGGUAAGUCCGCUCUGAAAGUCCAGGGCUCAACCCUGGAAAGCGGGUGGAUACUGCCGGGCUAGAGUCCGGAAGAGGCGAGUGGAAUUCCUGGUGUAGCGGUGGGAAUGCGCAGAUAUCAGGAGGAACACCAACAGCGAAGACAGCUCGCUGGGACGGUGACUGACGCUGAGGCGCGAAAGCGUGGGGAGCGAACAGGG
rnacentral:rRNA from 1 species